AGAUUGAACGCUGCGGGCAUGCUUUACACAUGCAAGUCGAACGGCAGCACGGGGGCAACCCUGGUGGCGAGUGGCGAACGGGUGAGUAAUAUAUCGGAACAUGUCCGGAAGUGGGGGAUAACGUACCGAAAGGUACGCUAAUACCGCAUAUGCCCUGAGGGGGAAAGGGGGGGAUCGUAAGACCUCUCGCUUUCGGAGUGGCCGAUAUCGGAUUAGCUAGUAGGUGAGGUAAAGGCUCACCUAGGCGACGAUCCGUAGCUGGUCUGAGAGGACGACCAGCCACACUGGGACUGAGACACGGCCCAGACUCCUACGGGAGGCAGCAGUGGGGAAUUUUGGACAAUGGGCGAAAGCCUGAUCCAGCCAUGCCGCGUGAGUGAAGAAGGCCUUCGGGUUGUAAAGCUCUUUCAGACGGAAAGAAAUCGCACUGAUUAAUACUCAGUGUGGAUGACGGUACCGUAAGAAGAAGCACCGGCUAACUACGUGCCAGCAGCCGCGGUAAUACGUAGGGUGCGAGCGUUAAUCGGAAUUACUGGGCGUAAAGCGUGCGCAGGCGGCUUUGUAAGACAGAUGUGAAAUCCCCGGGCUUAACCUGGGAACUGCAUUUGUGACUGCAAGGCUAGAGUGUAGCAGAGGGGGGUAGAAUUCCACGUGUAGCAGUGAAAUGCGUAGAGAUGUGGAGGAAUACCGAUGGCGAAGGCAGCCCCCUGGGCUAACACUGACGCUCAUGCACGAAAGCGUGGGGAGCAAACAGGAUUAGAUACCCUGGUAGUCCACGCCCUAAACGAUGUCAACUAGGUGUUGGGGAAGGAGACUUCUUUAGUACCGCAGCUAACGCGUGAAGUUGACCGCCUGGGGAGUACGGUC
rnacentral:rRNA from 1 species